rnacentral:rRNA from 1 species
ACGCUGGCGGCGUGCCUAAUACAUGCAAGUAGAACGCUGAAGGAGGAGCUUGCUUCUCUGGAUGAGUUGCGAACGGGUGAGUAACGCGUAGGUAACCUGCCUGGUAGCGGGGGAUAACUAUUGGAAACGAUAGCUAAUACCGCAUAACAGUAGAUGUUGCAUGACAUUUGCUUAAAAGGUGCAAUUGCAUCACUGCCAGAUGGACCUGCGUUGUAUUAGCUAGUUGGUGGGGUAACGGCUCACCAAGGCGACGAUACAUAGCCGACCUGAGAGGGUGAUCGGCCACACUGGGACUGAGACACGGCCCAGACUCCUACGGGAGGCAGCAGUAGGGAACCUUCGGCAAUGGACGGAAGUCUGACCGAGCAACGCCGCGUGAGUGAAGAAGGUUUUCGGAUCGUAAAGCUCUGUUGUAAGAGAAGAACAGGUGUGAGAGUGGAAAGUUCACACUGUGACGGUAUCUUACCAGAAAGGGACGGCUAACUACGUGCCAGCAGCCGCGGUAAUACGUAGGUCCCGAGCGUUGUCCGGAUUUAUUGGGCGUAAAGCGAGCGCAGGCGGUUAGAUAAGUCUGAAGUUAAAGGCUGUGGCUUAACCAUAGUACGCUUUGGAAACUGUUUAACUUGAGUGCAAGAGGGGAGAGUGGAAUUCCAUGUGUAGCGGUGAAAUGCGUAGAUAUAUGGAGGAACACCGGUGGCGAAAGCGGCUCUCUGGCUUGUAACUGACGCUGAGGCUCGAAAGCGUGGGGAGCAAACAGGAUUAGAUACCCCUGGUAGUCCACGCCGUAAACGAUGAGUGCUAGGUGUUAGACCCUUUCCGGGGUUUAGUGCCGCAGCUAACGCAUUAAGCACUCCGCCUGGGGAGUACGACCGCAAGGUUGAAACUCAAAGGAAUUGAC